AAAAAAGCAAAAAAGAAAACACACACAAGGAAUUUGGAAUAAACAUUGAACACCUAGGCCCUAGCUGGGGAAUGCUCUAUUGCUUUUUCAGGGCGAAUCCCAUUAGAAUUUCACUUGUGACUUGAGGCUGGAGCAAAUAGCAACAAAAGGGUGGUUCAAUAAUUUCACCCCCAACAGACCUUUGAAGAUGUCUGUUACAGUUAGGAAAUAUCAUAGUUGGAAACAGGUGAGAGGUCCCAUGAAGCUUAAAAGACUAUUCUGAUAAUUCACACUGAAAGAAUCCUUCCAUGAAUAUUAAAUACAAUACGGUUCUACCUUUUCCUAAAUAGUGCUUUUCUUAAAGGCCCACAGCUAUGAACAGAUGAAACUCAUCAUGACAAAGAUGAAUUAUUUCAUAAAUAUACAAAAAUAGCCACCAAGAUCAUCACUAACUCCUGAAUUUGCUGGACUUUUUGGUCAUUGUGAUUUCAGUUUCUCGAGAAAAAAGAGCCUAUCUUCGCCCAUCUCUUAUUCAGCUCCUUCACAAUCACAUUGCUUGGUCUUUGGUGUAGUGAACAUUUGGUUCGUCUGAAUUCAAGGGAAAUCUUUCUGAGUUUUAUAAAAGUGUAGUUCCCAAAUUUCCAAGAAUAGAUUUUGCUUACUUGAUUCACUAAACCACCGAGUUUCAGGAGAUGGGUAAGCAUUUUUUUUUAACGUCCGCAAUCAGCAUUGAAUUUAGCAUUUCAAUUACUGUUUCGAGUAUUUCCGUGCAAAUGGUUUAAACUUAUACACUUAAAUUGCCAUAUUAAUAUCUUGCUAAAAGCUUGAGUUGUUAAACAAUCUCUUCCACAAAUCAUCUUCAUAGUCUUCUUAAAUUCUGUUGCAAAUAUUUCCUGUAAUGGAUUUUCUCCUCCACCAGUCUACUUCACCAACGCACCAGUAUGUAUAAUUCCCCUUUUCUCCCCAAUCUUUCAUCAACCUUCCUUUAUCUUCAUUGCAUAUAGAUUUGCUUAUAAAACUACCUGAAAUCAUGGUAACAGAUCAGUUUCAUAAAAAAAAUAUUCUUUAAUCAUUGAGGACCACUCUGUAUUGUGGGCAGUAAUGGUGCUUCAAUGGCUAAGAAGAGGAGUUGGUUCAAUUUAGUGAGAACGUUUUUCAUUUCAGACACAGAGUCCAAACAAGAAAAGAGGGACAAGAGAAGAAAAUGGGUUUUCCUUGGAAGGCUUAAGGCGAAAAGCAGGCUGGCCUCCAUUUCAGCACCAUCACCACCAAAAGAAAGAACAACACUAAGUUAGGCAUGGGAGGAGCAGAGCAAGCGAGCUUUAAAUUUUGCACUUGCCACUGCUGCUGCUGCUGAAUCAGCUGCUCAUGCUGCUGCUAAGGUUGUUUUGCUAACUGGUGUCCCUCACUCUACCCAUCAAUGUGAGAAAGAAAGAGAAGAAAAUUUAGCCAUCAAAAUACAAGCUGAUGCCCUUCAAUCCACUCAUCCAUGUGAGAGGGAGAUCCAAGAAAUUGCUGCUCUUAAGAUUCAAGCCACAUUUCGUGGUUAUCUUGUUAGUUUUGUUCAAACUCUUUUCUUUAUUUAACACUUUAUCUCAUUUCUCUUUAUCUUGUUUCCAUUGAAAUAAGUUGGAUUAGAGAAUUAGUAUGGUAAAGAACACAUACGAGUGGUAUGAAGGAGGAUUAGAAUUUAGGAGAAAACACACAUGUUAUCCAGAUAAGUUUGGAAUGUAGGAUGAUUAUUCAGGUAUAUAAUAGUGAAAUUAAGUCACAGAAAACUCAACCCUCAAUUUAAUUGUCACCUUUGAUUUCAGCAACCUUACUAAAAAAACUAAAGAAUCUCAAUUCUCCUGUCUCAUAUUGCAUGAUUUUGACAAUUAUAUCUGGGAGCAUCGCAUGCAAGGAAAGCUUUGCGAGCACUGAAGGGGAUAGUGAAGCUUCAGGCUAUUAUCCGUGGGCGAAAUGUGCGACGCCAUGCUAUGAAUGCUCUGAAAUGCUUGCAGUCAAUUGUAAAUAUCCACCCGAAGGUCUGUGCCAAGAGAAUCCAAAUGGUGGAAGGAACUUCUUUCUGCCAUGAAAAUAAACAGUUCCAAAAUUUGAGUGACAAGAUAAUAAGGGUAGGUAUAGAGUAUUGGAGAUCUUUGCUGUUAUACCAGCAACUCAAGAAAAGCUUGUUCAUACCAAAAAUCCUUUUAACCAUUUCAGCUCUAUCUGGGCCCAUACUUUUCUGCUACUGCAUUAACCAGCCAAAUAAUUUUUGCCUUCUUCAGAUGGACACAAACGAUCAAAAAAGAUGGGAUGGAAGCAUUUUGACAAAAGAGGAGGCAGAUGCCUUGUUUCUUAGCAAGAAAGAGGCUGCAAUCAAGAGAGAAAGGAUAAAAGAAUAUUCAUUUAAUCACCGGAAUUCAGCAGACACUGAGAGGAACAAGGCGAAUGGAAGGUGGAGGUAUUGGCUAGAUCAAUGGGUGGAUAUUCAAGUUUCUAAUAAAAGCAAAGAACUAGAAGAUUUGGACACAGUUUUGACUUCAACUCCAGAGCCUGGAGUGGAAUAUAGAGGGAAACAACUUAAACUGAGAGGUCCGCAGAGACAGUAUAAAAUUGAAGGACAAGAUUCUCCGAUAGAAGCUUCAAGAUCAUUUCAUAGAAAGCAGUAUUCACUGGGAGAAGACAAUUCCUUUUCCAGGUCUCCUGUGAUCCCAACUUACAUGGCUGCAACUGAAUCGGCCAAGGCAAAAGCAAGGUCAAUGAGCACACCGAGGCCACGAAUAGGAAUUCAGGAUCCUUGCUUCGAUGAUAGCUUAUCAUACAAGAAAGGACUCUCUCUUUGGUCUUCUUAUAAUGGUGAAUUGUUUAGCACUUA
rnacentral:misc_RNA from 1 species